rnacentral:rRNA from 1 species
AUUGAACGCUGGCGGCAGGCCUAACACAUGCAAGUCGAGCGGGGUUUUCGGACCUAGCGGCGGACGGGUGAGUAAUGCGUAGGAAGCUACCCGAUAGAGGGGGAUACUAGCUGGAAACGACUGUUAAUACCGCAUAAUGUCUACGGACCAAAGUGCGGGACCUUCGGGCCACAUGCUAUCGGAUGCGCCUACGUGGGAUUAGCGAGUUGGUGAGGUAAUGGCUCACCAAGGCGACGAUCCCUAGCUGGUUUGAGAGGAUGAUAAGCCCCACUGGAACUGAGACACGGUCCAGACUCCUACGGGAGGCAGCAGUGGGGAAUAUUGGACAAUGGGAGCAAGCCUGAUCCAGCCAUGCCGCGUGUGUGAAGAAGGCCUUCGGGUUGUAAAGCACUUUCAGUAGGGAGGAAGCGUUGUGUGUUAAUAGUACACAGCGUUGACGUUACCUACAGAAGAAGCACCGGCUAACUCUGUGCCAGCCGCCGCGGUAAAAC